AGAUAGAGGCGCGAAAAUCAGGAGUAAGCAUGGGGAGCCGCUCAAACGGCUGGGAAUCAUGGAGAAAGGGAAAUUCGCCGAAACAGGCGCUUAUUUGAGCGGCGCCAUGUUGGGCGGGAGGAGAAUAUCUUCCUGACUGUCACAGUGGAAAUUGUGAUGAGCUAUUA
rnacentral:ncRNA from 1 species